rnacentral:rRNA from 1 species
GAUGAACGCUGGCGGCGUGCCUAAUACAUGCAAGUCGAGCGAACGGACGAGAAGCUUGCUUCUCUGAUGUUAGCGGCGGACGGGUGAGUAACACGUGGAUAACCUACCUAUAAGACUGGGAUAACUUCGGGAAACCGGAGCUAAUACCGGAUAAUAUUUUGAACCGCAUGGUUCAAAAGUGAAAGACGGUCUUGCUGUCACUUAUAGAUGGAUCCGCGCUGCAUUAGCUAGUUGGUAAGGUAACGGCUUACCAAGGCAACGAUGCAUAGCCGACCUGAGAGGUUGAUAGUCCACACUGCAACUGCGACACGGUCCAGACUCCUACGGGAAGCAGCAGUAGGGAAUCUUCCGCAAUGGGCCAAAGCCUGACGGAGCAACGCCGCGUGAGUGAUGAAGGUCUUCGGAUCGUAAAACUCUGUUAUUAGGGAAGAAGAUAUGUGUAAGUAACUAUGAACAUCUUGACGAUACCUAAUCAGAAAGCCACGGCUCUCUACGUG